GUGCUUGGGCGAGAGUAGUACUAGGAUUGUUGACCACUUGGGAAGUCCUCAUGUUGCGCCCCUUAUUUUU
rnacentral:rRNA from 1 species